rnacentral:rRNA from 1 species
CUCUUAAAAUAUUUUAAGUAAUCUCUGCCCUAUGAAUAAUUUUAAUGGCCGCAGUAUCUUGACUGUGCAAAGGUAGCAUAAUCAUUUGUUUUUUUAUUGAAAACUGGCAUGAAAGAGGCGACGAAAUAUAAUCUUUUAUUUUUAUAAAAUAAAAUUAACAUAAAGGUUAAAAGGCCAUUUAUAUCCCAAAGGGACGAUAAGACCCUAUAAAACUUUACUUUUUAAUAAAAAUAUUGAUUAGACAUAAUUUUUUAUACUAGAGUUGGGCUGGGGCGGUAAAAAUAAAAACUACUAAUAUAUAAAAUAUACAUAUAUAGCUUAAUAGGACUUAAAUAAAAUAUAGAACAAGUUACUUUAGGGAUAACAGCAUAAUUCUUUCAGAUAGUUCUUAUUGGCGAAAGAGUUUAUGACCUCGAUGUUGAAUUGGAAGU